AUUGAACGCUGGCGGCAUGCCUUACACAUGCAAGUCGAACGGCAGCACGGGAGCAAUCCUGGUGGCGAGUGGCGAACGGGUGAGUAAUAUAUCGGAACGUGCCCAGUCGUGGGGGAUAACGUAGCGAAAGCUACGCUAAUACCGCAUACGAUCUAUGGAUGAAAGCGGGGGAUCGCAAGACCUCGCGCGAUUGGAGCGGCCGAUAUCAGAUUAGGUUGUUGGUGGGGUAAAAGCCUACCAAGCCUGCGAUCUGUAGCUGGUCUGAGAGGACGACCAGCCACACUGGAACUGAGACACGGUCCAGACUCCUACGGGAGGCAGCAGUGGGGAAUUUUGGACAAUGGGCGCAAGCCUGAUCCAGCAAUGCCGCGUGCAGGAUGAAGGCCU
rnacentral:rRNA from 1 species